rnacentral:misc_RNA from 1 species
GUUUGAUGGAAUGAGCAAGCAUUGGUGCAAUUACAACAAUGAAACCACAUAUGGAGACUAAAAUUGGAUGAAACCAACCAACAAUGUGCUGAACCCCUAUUGCAGAUUGUUUAGGCUUCUAGAAUAGCCGAGCUGCUUCAUAAUUCACCUGUCCCUAGCGCCUGCCUCGAGGUGUCACCUGAAGCCCAUGCUUCAUAGUCCUUCACAAGC